rnacentral:lncRNA from 1 species
CUCAUUGUAGUUUUAAUUCAUCUUAUGUCUGAUGAUUAGUGAUGCUGAGCAUUUUUAAAAUAUGCUUAUUGGCUAUUUAUGUGUCUUCUUUUGAAAACUGUUCGUGUCCUUUGUCCACUUUUUAAUGAGGUUAUUUGUUUUUUACUUGUUGAAUUGUUUGAGUUCUCUAUGGGUUCUAGAUAUUAGUCCUUUGUUGGAUUCAUGGUUAGCCAAUAUUUUCUCCCAUUCUGCAGGUGGUCUACUUACUCUGUUGAUUAUGUCUUUUCCUGUGCAGAAGCUUUUUAGGUUUAAUUAAGUCCUAUUUCUCUAUUUUUGUUUCUGUUACAUUUGCUUUUGAAGUAUUAGUCGUGAAUUCUUUGCCUAAGCCAAUAUUCAACAGAGUUUUUUGGCCAGGUGUAGUGGCUCUUGCCUGUAAUCCCAGCACUUUGGGAGGCUGAGGUGGGAGGAUUGCUUGAGCCCAGGAGUUCAAGAGCAGCCUAGGCAGCAUAGUGAUACCCUGUCUCUACAAAAAAAUUUUAAAAAUUAGCCAGGCAUGGUGGUGUGCACCUGUAGUUCUAGCUACUCAAGAGGCUGAGGCAAGAUAAUCGCUUGAGUCCAGGGAGUUGAGGUUGCAGUGAACCAUGUUUGUGCCACUGCACUUCAGCCUGGGUGUGAGAGAGAGACUCCAUCUCUUUAAAGAAAAAGAGUUUUUCUUAGGUUUUCUUCUAUAGUUCUUAUAGUUUCAGAUCUUACAUUUAAGUCUUUAAUCCAUUUUGAGUUGAUUUUUGGAUAUGGUGAGAGAUAUAGCUCCUAUACUUAUGCAUAUGGCUAUGCAAGUUUUCCAGCACCCAGCAUCAUUUAUUGAACAGGAUGUCCUUUCCCCAUUGUAUGUUCUUGCUGCCUUUGUGGAAGAUCAGUUGGCUCUAGGUAUGUGGCUUCAUUUCUGGGUUUUUUAUUCCAUUCCAUUGAUGUAUAUAUCUGUUUUUAAACCAGUACCAUACUGUUUUGGUCACUAUAGCCUUGUAGUAUAAUUUGAAGUUAGAUAAUGUGAUGCCUCUAGAUUUGUUCUUUUUGCUUAGGAUUGCUUUGGUUAUUUGGGCUCUUUGGUCCCAUAUGAAUUUUAGCAUUUUUUUUUCCAAUUUUGUAAAAAAUGAUGUUGAUAUUUUGAUAGGAUUUGCACUGAAUCUAUAGAUCGCAUUGGGCAGUAUGGUCUUCUUAACAAUAUUGAUCCCUCCAAUCCAUGAGCAUGGGAUAUAGAUGACACAAACAUUUGUGUCAUCUACAAUUUCUUUUAUCAAUGUUUUAUAAUUUUCUUCGUAGAGACCUUUUAUCUCCUUCAUUAAAUGUAUUCCUAAGUAUUUUAUUUUAUUUUUUAAUUAUUUUUGUAGCUGUCGUAAAUGGGGUUGAGUCCUUGAUUUGGUUCUCAGCUUGGUCAUUACUGGUGUAUAGAAAUGCUACUGAUUUUUGUAUGUUGAUUUUGUAUCCUGAAACUUGACUGAAUUCAUUUAUCAAAUCUAGUGAUAGUUGGAGGAGUCUUUAGGGUUUUCUAAGUAUAAGAUAAUAUCAUCAGCAAACAGAGAUAAUUUGACAUCCUCUUUUCCAAUUUGGAUGCCUUUUAUUUCUUUCUAGUGCCUGAUUUUCUGGGUAGAACUUCCAAUGCUUUGUUGAAUAGAAGUGGCAAAAAUGGGCAUCCUUGUCUUGUUUUAAUUCUUAGGGGAAAUACUUUCAAAUUUUCCCCAUUCAAUAUGAUGUUGGCCAUGGGUUUGUCAUAUAUGGCUUUUGUUGUUUUGUUGUUCUAUGCCUAGUUUGUUGAGAGUUUUUAUCAUGAAGGGAUUCCGAAUUUUAUCAAAUGCUCUUCUGCAUCUGUUGAGAUGAUCAUAUGGUUUUUGUUUUUAAUUCUGUUUAUUUGGUGAAUCAUAUUCAUUGAUUUGAAUAUAUUGAACCAUCCUUGCAUCCCUGGAAUAAAUCCACCUUGAUCAUAGUGCAUGCUAUGGUUUUAGAUGAUCUGACCAUACAUCUCAGUUGCUCAGAACAAUGUCCACAUGUUUCCUCUGUGCCAUUAUUAAGAUGGUCCCCUUCCCCUUUUAAAAGCAUCCUGGGACAAUAAAUUCUAUAGGCACUCUAGUUUUAGAGGUCCAAUAAAUAAAAAAUAAACUUAUGGUCUAUGUGUUAAAAAUAUUAGGGCAUGGCUUUCUAAGCAUGGCUUGAAAUCUGAGUUCUACACUAUUCCUAAUUAGUUCUUUGGCAAAUUCUGAUGCUAAGCCCAAAUAUUCCUGUUCUGAGGUCUCCUUUAUCCCUUUCAUAAAUGAUCCUGUGAGCUUUGGACUUUAGGGUUCAAAUUUAGCCUGGAGAAGACUUGUGAUUGUCUUUCAAGAAGUUGUUAGCUACUUUGUAAUUAACUCAACCUUCAAGGAUGGAGGUUGUAUUACUACCUGAAGUAGACUGUACACCAAUCUGUUGGUACACUCUGACUACCUGGAAAGGGUUGACAGAAUUAUAUAAGGCUACAUCACUAAAUGGGCAGAAUUUUAACACUGAGUGUAAUGCUCAGAAUCCAUGCUGGCAAGGCAGACUGAAUUAGCAUUAUAUUUGCUUGCAAAAAUGAAAAUAACCUGUCUUACAUAAUACUGACAAUAUUUUGCUGUAAUUCUGCCUUUUGAGCUUAGUGAAAUUCCUAUAACUUCUUUGCCAAGUUAUUUCCAAGCUAUAGGAAUGUAGACAUCUAUCUGUGUUACUAUUACUUUCAUAUACAAAUAGAAUUGCAUCUCAAGUUUACAACCUUAACUUUCAAAGUCCUUUACAUGUUAAGUUUUUUUUUUUUUUUUUUUUUUUUUACAUUGCCUUUACAAUUCACUUACAGUCUGUGAGGCCAACUUUGUUGUCAGGCCAGAUUAUAAUCAAGCUAUUCUUUGUUGAACCAAUAUGCCCUCUCAGGGAAUGAUCGUAAUCAAUCAAUGGUUUUACCAUUUAAAAAUUCCCUAUCAGGGAGUUUGAAUUAUUUUUCUUCCCUUUCAUUUUUGUUUAAGCUCUAUUGUUUUUUGAGCUAGAUAAUUUUCUUUGAGCUGGAAAAUUAUCCUAAUCUUGGUUAAUAAAUAUUAGACUAGUGCUAGUGAUACUACAUUAAUAGAGAAGAAUGUGCAAAUUAUGAUAUGCAAUUGGACUUAAUGAAGAAUAAUGGUGUAUUUAAGAGUGUUCAAAAAUUCAGAAUUUCCACAAAGCCUCUAUCUAAUUCUUUAAUCUUGGUGAAAUUAAACUGAGUAUUGAUAGUGAAGCAAUAAGGAAAAAUAUGAGGAUGUUAUAAUUCUUUUCAUGGAAAAUGUUUCAGAUCCAGAAUCAAAUCCUCACAUUUAGAUUUGACCUUGGGCAGUACCUCCUUUACUGGGCUGGCAAAAGGUUAAAUGAGUUAAUGAUUGUGAACUGCAUUGUUGCAGGUUGGAUUCUGCCAGCUUUGAUGGCUCUGACAGUGCUUCCAGUUCUGAUGGCCUAUUUCCAGAUUUUUAUCUUAGAGACAAAGAAACCUCGAUCUUGUCUAAAUCUCUGUUAUUGUGGAGUUUAAUUCUCUUGGAACCUAAUCCCAACUCAUAAAAGGUCUCAUCUACUCUUAUCAUAUAAUUUUUUUUAUUACUUGGCAUUUCAUAGAUCAUGAGUUCCAUGAUGGUAGAGAUCAUUCUUUUUGCUUGUAUAUGUCCUGUAGCCUCUGUCACUUAAAAAAGUUACUCAGUUUACAUUUUUAGUUGAAUAAUUUACCACAUAGUUCAUAUGUUUAAAGCAUGUAAAAGAAUUUUUUAUGUUGGAAAGUUUCAAGUUGUCAUAAAAGUAGAUAAAAUAGUUCAGUGGGUUCCCGUGUACUCAAUAUCCAGCUUCAACAAUUAUCAACUGAUGACCAACAUUGCUUUAUCUUCUCUUUCCCCUGCUGCCUACAUUUUUAAAAGACCAAUAUCAGACAUCGUAUAAUUUUAUCUGUAACUUUUUUACUAUGCACUUCUCACAAUAAGAAUCAAACAUAACCACAAUAACACAUUCGUACCUAUAAAAUUAACAGUAAUUUUUAAAUGUCAUCCAAUACUCAGUGCAUGUUCAAAUUAUCACUUAUCCCAAAAAUGUCAUAUGGUUUAAAAAUCAAUUUUGUUAAGGUAUGUCUUACACACAAUAAGAUCUGCCUAUUUUAAGAGUACAUUUAAAUGAGCUUUGACAAGGGUGUACACACCUAUAACCACCAUCAUAAUCAAAGAGAAUAUUUUGAUUCCACAAAAAGCUGCCUCAUCUUCCUGUAGUCAAUUCUACCUCCCUGCCCCAUCCUUAGCCCCAGGCAACAGUGAAUGUGCUUUUUGUUACAUUAUAUAUCACAAAUAUACCUGUAUGUGUGUGCGUGUGUACAUAUAUAUAAAAUAUACAUGUUAUUUUAUAUUUAUAUAUAUAGCCACUUAAAACUUUUCCUGCUUAUAAAUAAUUUUUAGCAAUUUGAUUAUGAUGUUAUUUGUGUUUAUCUAUCUUGGGUAUCAUUGAGCUUCUUGGAUCUGUGGGUUUAUCGUUUGCAUCAGAAAUGGCAAAUUUUCAGUCACGAUUUCAUCAAAAAAAUUUUUUUUGCCACCUUCUAUCUUCUUGGGCUCCAAUUACAUGUAUGUUUGACUGAUGGAUAUCAUGCCACAGGUCACUGAGUUUCUGUUUUUGUUUUUGUCUUUUCUCCUCUCUGCUCAUUAGUUGAAUAUUUUCUACUAUAGUGUCUUUGUGUUCACUGAUCUUUCUUUUGUAGCAUCUGAUCAACUGUUAUGAUUGUACAAUGAAUUUUUCCCUGCAGAACUUGUAUUUUUCUUUUCUAGAAUUUCCAUUUUAGGCUGGGCGUGGUGGCUCAUGCCUGUAAUCCCAGCACUUUGGGAGGCUGAGGUGGGCGGAUCACGAGAUCAGGAGUUUAAGGCCAGCCUGACGAAUAUGGUGAAAUCCCAUCUCUACUAAAAAUACAAAAAUUAGCCAAGUGUGGUGGCACACGCCUGCAAUCCUAGCUUCUCAGGAGGCUGAGGCAGAAGAAUCGCUUGAACCCGGGAGGUGGAGGUUGCAGUGAGCUGAGAUCGCACCACUGCACUCCAGCCUGGGCGACAGAGCGAGACUCCAUCUCAAAAAAAAAAAAAAAAUAAUAAUAAUAAAAUCAUUUUCUGCUGUUCCCAGCAUCUCUGUUAUUUAUCUCUGUUUCUUUUGACUGAUUUUUCCUUUUGCUAUGGGUCAUAAUUUGGUGAUUUUUUGCAUGUCUAAUAAUUUUUUGUUGGAUGCAGGACAUCAUGAGUUUCUGUUGUUUAGUAUUUAGAUACAGUUGUCUUCCUUAAAAAAUUCUGAAAUUUGUUUUGGCAGACAGGUAAGUUAUAUGUAAGUUAUAUGUUUACUGAUUAAUCUUUACUAGACUUGCUUUAAAGCCUUUUUAGAACAAUUCUAGAAUAGGCUGUUCUUCAGGGCUAAGUUAGCUCUAGUACUAAGGUUUGAUCCUUCUGAAAUCUCUACAUAUUGCUCUGAGUGUUCCAGAAGGUGUAUCUGCUCUGGCUCGUUAGAAUUUGCAUGCCUCUCAGCCUUGUGCAAGUCUGGGAAUGGUUUUGAUUAUAGUUCUUCCGUUCUUUAUCUAGCCUUGUGGAUCUUCCCCCUAUGAAUGUACAGAUUAAUAUUCAGCCAAUGACUCAAGGGGCCACCUCUGUAGAUCUCCGUAACUCUUUCUUUGCACAAUUCACUUGUCUCUGAACUUGGCUCUACCAAUUCCAGCUGGAUCAGCCUCUCCAAAGCCUGAUCUGUUUCUCUUCAACUCAGGGAGAUUGUGGUGCUUUUCCUGGCCUCCCCUGUCCCUUUCAUGCUGUUUAAAAGUCGCUGUCAGGCAGAAAUCCAGGACAGUUGUAAAACUCAGCUCCUUUGCUUUCUUUUCUCAGGAUCAUAGUCUUACAUUGUUUGAUAUCCUGUGUCUGAAAAAGAUGUUUUUAAACAUUUUUGUAUAAUUAUCUUUUAGUUUUGGAGGGGAAGAAAAUCCUAUACCAGUUUCUUCUUCAUGGUCAAAAAUCAAAAUCACGCAUUUUAAAAACCGUUUAUGCAUUUUGAAUCAGGACUCAAAGUAAGCAUGUUUAUAUUGGUCAGUGUGUCUUCCUACCUUUAUUUAAUAAGUAAUUAAGUCAAUCCUUUACCCUUCACUCUCUCUCUCUUUUUCUUUCCAUCCUGUUUUGUUGAACAAAACCUGAAAUGUUUGUACAGUUUCCAACAUUCUGGAUUUUACUGAUUGCAUUCCCAUGAUGUCUUUUAACAUAUUCCUCCACAUACAUUUCCUGUUAAUUGGUAAUUGGAUUUAGAGCCUUGAUCAUAUUCAGAUCAGAUUUUUUUUUAUAAAACUACAUUAAAGGUAUUGUUUGCUUUUCCAUCACAAAAGGAGCCCAUAUUGUCUCUCUUUUUGUAAUCUUAGCAGCUACUGAUGCUCCAUAACUAGAUCAAAGCACUGCUUUUAAUUUGCUAGUUUAUCAGACACUGGGCUUUAGCUGGGUUCAAUUUCUAGACUAUGCAAAUGGCACUAUUAUUUCUAGCUAUGCACUUGUUUUCAGAAUAUCAAUUACAAUGAUAAAUUGGAGCUCAAAUACAAAGUAGAUUUUUUUUAACUUGCUCAAGAAAAAGUUGGCUAAUUUUUACCAAUUGGCGGGAGGCCAGCCUCAAUUAUAUCAAUCCAUAUGUUACUUUCAACGUUAUGCUCCUUUCAAGGUUAUGCUCCAGCUAAAGUUGGGCUCAAGUGGUACUGCCAUGAGAGAAGGCACCCUUAGAUUGCCUUCAGUUAAACAAGAAUGGCUUUACGUAUUAGUCAUAAGACAGGGAUGCUUUUGUAGUGCUUAAGGGUAUGUACAAGCUGUUUGUAGUCUAAAUUUACUUAAGGACUUCCUUUCAUGCUAGUUUAUGGGGCUGAUUUAGGAACACAGGAUUUUCCAAGCAAAUGUGAGUGUCUGUCCCAGCUCUCGUACUAGUAAGCAUGGGAUUAUUUAUUUCUACACAGCACUUUCUCUAAUGCCCUUUCACAUCUUCUUCCUUAGGAUGUUUCUUUGAUACUAUCAGACUAAUUUUGUAAGACAUAGAAACUGGGGCUCAGAAGAUUCAGGGACUUGGAGAAGGUCAUUUAGCUAGGCUCCCUCCUUCAGUCUCCUGAUGGUGUCACGCCUGUGCCCCAUGCCCUGAAACACAGUGGGAAAGGUCUCUUUAGUCUCCCCACUCACCACACCUGUGCAGAAGAACCAGCCUGUAUGUUGACAUGUCUUCACUGGUCUGCUCAGUAAGUCGUGUGUGUAGGCAUACUCCCGAAAGUGGUUCUGAGCUGUGCGGGCAGUCUGUCUGGUUCCUCGUACUAAUCUACGGUAUCCCUUGUCCUUCUGGAAUGCGCCCAAGAUCUUUUGUCUAUUUGGUAAAGCACAAUAUUUGUUUCUCAAGCUCUGUGUUGUUUGUUUUUGGAGUAUUGUGGUAUUAGUAUUCCUUCCUCCACACACUCCAGGUACACCUUAGAGGGCAAUCUUUUUCUCUCCAAGUUAAAAUAUUUGUUUAGUGUGGGAUUUUUCGUCUCAACUUUCUGGAAACUAUGUUUUAAAAGCUACUUCAGCCAUCUAAGCUAAGGUGUGGUGACAACCUCUCAGAAUUGAUGUGGCUAGGCCUUGGCAUACUGCCACACGAGACCUGAUUUUCUUUACUUCUUCGUCUCACUCUCUUAAGGGAAGUAAAACUCAACUUUAUUUUCACCAUCAUGAAGAAGUACAGCAGCCAUCCAGCCCCGAUUUUGGGAAUAGCCUUACUUCAAAUUCUCUGACUAAUUACACAAACUAAUGAGAUGCUCUGGAAUUCUGUACAAUUCAAUGUUCUGUCUAGGUCUUCCCACCUGUCUGCCUCCCUGGAGGAGAAAUGGCACAGAAACAUCUUUUGUAAGAUGCCGUGUCCUGUUUGUUGAUUCUAAAACUAUGGUCAUUAAAUUUUACUGCGUGAAAUGAUUUGUCUUGGCUGGGGUUUCCCUGAGACACAGCGUGAGAGGGGCUGCUGCAGGUAGCUUAUGUGAGAAAUGAUGCCAGGGAGCAGAAGUCAGGAGCAGGGAGAGGAAGGCAGGGGAGGGAAGCAAGGAGCCCUAAGAAAUGGAUUUAGGAGCUGUCUGCUUUUCCCUGGAGGGGUGAAGACUUUUCCAUGAUUCCAUCUCCCAUUUGGCAAGGGCCCCUGUACUUCCAGAUUUCUCCUGUGUGAGCACCUAGAGGUCCUGGCAGACAUCAGAGAGGGCUGGGGUCAAGGUGCUGAGGAGCUGUACCUACAAAGAACUGGUCACAGCAGAGGCUGGAAUGAGAGUUGGGCUGAGGUUACAACCAGAUGAGGAAGAUUAGGGUGAGAAGUAGGCUCAGGCUAGAAUGAGGUGGGCUGAGGCUAGAAUGAAUUGUGGUAGUUCCCACAGAGAGGUUAGAUAUUUCCUUGGGGGAGGGGAAACAAAUGUCAGCAUACAUCUGUUUAAUUGAAAGCAUCUCACAGUUUUACCGACUUCAAUUUAUAUUGAUAGCUGAGUAAAGAAGAGAGUGUUGGCAUUAAUAGUGCUGCUUAGCAGCUCCCUCCCUGGCAUUCCAUUUCCAUGUGUUAAGGGUUUAGUGUGGAUCUGGCUGUGGCACUGGAAGCAGUGUGGGAUCCCAUGGGGAAUGCACAAUUCAGCAGUAACCGGUUUGAGGGCUGCAGGGUUUACCCUGAUGCUGAUGUCAAUUAUAGCAAAUUGUAGGUCCUUUUCGAUGUUCUCUUUAUCUUUUACUAUUUUUAAAAGCCAUUUAAGGAUUGUAUGUAAGCAAUGGAAUAUUAUUCAGCCAUAAAAAAGAAUAAAACCAGUUGAAUACAGGUUAACUUGUACAAGUUCCUGUGAUACAGUAUCACAUUUUCUUCAUCCAUUCAUCCACUGAGGAAUACCUAGGUUGAUUCCAAAUCUUGGCUAUCGUGAGUAAUGCUGCAAUGAACACGGGAGUGCAGAUAGCUCUUUGACAUGCUGAUUUCCUUUCCUUUGCAUAGAUACCCAGUAGUGGCAUUGCUGGAUCACAUUUUAAAUUUUUAUUGAAAUUUAAAAAUUGUUCUAUUUUUAAUUUUUUGAGGAACCUCCAUGCUAUUUUCCAUAAGGGCUGCACUAAUUUACAUUCCCACUGAUGGUGUAUGAGAGAGUUCCUUUUUUCUCUGCAUCCUUCCCAGCAUUUGUUACUUUUUGUCUUUCCGAUAAUAGCCAUUCUAACUGGGGUGAGACAGUAUAUGGUUGUGGUUUUGAUUUGCAUUUCCCUGAUUAAUGAUGUUGAGUAUUUUGUGAUAUAUCUGCUGGCUACUUGUAAAUCUUCUUUGGGGAAAUGUCUAUUCAGGCCCUUUGCCCAUUUUAAAAUUGGAUGAUGAUUAUUAUUAUUAUUAUUUUUGCUGUUGAGUUGUAUGAGUUCCUUAUGUAUUAUGACUAUUAAUCCCUUGUCAGGUGCAUAGUUUGCAAAUACUUUCUUCCAUUUUGUAGGUUGUCUCUUCACUGUGUUGAUUGUUUCCUUUGUUGUAUGGAAACUUUUUAGUUUGAUGUAAUCCCAUUUGUCUAUUUUUCCUUUUGUUGCCUGUGUUUUUGAAGUAUUUUCCAAAAAAUCUUUGCCUACUCCAGUGUCAUGAAUAAUUUUCCCUAUGUUGUUUUUCUAGUAGUUUCAUAGUUUCAUGUCUUACAUUUCAACUUUUUAUCCAUUUUGAGUUGACUUUUGUAUACGGUCAGAGAUAGGCAUCUAGUUUCAUUGUUCUGCAUAUAAAUAUCUAGUUUUUCCAGCAUCUUUUAUUGAAGAGACUGUCCUUUUCCCAGUAAGUGCUAUUGACACCUUUGUUGAAAAUCAGUUGGCUGUAAAUGCGGAGAUUUAUUUUUGGGCUGUCUACUUUGUUCUAUUAGUGUAUGAGUCUGUUUUUAUGCCAGUACCUUGCUGUUUUGGUUACUAUAGCUUUGUGGUCUCUUUUAAAGUCUUCUAUCUCUUUCCAGCAGUGUAGUCUUGUCAAGCUACUUCAUCUCCCAGUAGCUGUUUCCUCACUGGGAAAAUAAGAGUUGCAGGCAGGAUUAAAUUCAAUAUGAAUUUAAUUUCCUGAAAAAGUCUUCUUAGGACCAUUGCUCCAUAAAUAAUGAAGAUUUUAGAGAAUAAGAAUGUGAUUUAUGGGAGCCAUAUGUUGUUGGGUGCUGCAUCCUUGGCAGUUUUCUAUAUUUUUCCUGUGGGGAGGCUCAACAAGUCAAUGAAUUGUGACAUGCCCUCACCAGAGGCUGCUUCCAUGGUGUGUGUGGUUUGAGACUGAAGAUGCUCAGUCUAGGCCAAAUGUCUGAUCUAGCCAUUUUGCCAUUUCACAUCAGCAAAGGGUGUGUGUGUGUGUGUGUGUGUGUGUGUGUGUGUGUGUACAGUGAGGGCGAUGGGUGCAGAGCUUUUUCGACACUAACCCUUUCUGGCAGGAACCUUCCCACCUCAGUUGACGUGGCUCUUUCUCCUGUCUCUCUACCACUUUAGCUUCUAAUAUUUUUAGCUCUGAGGGCUGACCAUGGCAAUGAGCUUUUUCACCAGGCACAUGACAAGUGUGUGAGACCCUCAGGGGGUCUGAGUUUGUCCUUGGACCAGGCCAUCCUGCGAAGUCUCUGUCUUGUUCCUCCUGAUGGAAUCUGGCCUCACACACUUGGCCCCUGAAGAGGAGCUCGUGUCCAGAAUGUGUGAUGUGGGAGGGGGAUGAUUGUCCCACUCCUCUCCCCAGCAUCAAAUUGAGCCUCUGGGAAACUGUGACUUCAGCAGAAUUCCUUAAAGAAUGUUGGUGCCUCACUUCACGGUUAGGGUAGGGUGGAAGGAAAGAUAUUCUGGCAGCAGGCUCUUGAGUUCCUACUGGGUGGACAUGCUGUCUUAGCUGACAAGGGUAAUUAUUGUUCCCCAGGCCAUUGUGAUGGAGUUGAGAAUAGCAAACCUAGAUGAAAUGACUUGAGAUGCUUAGAAAGGAAUUUAGCAACAAGUGGAGAGUAAUAUAGUGAAGAUCAAGUGCUGAGUGUCUACCAGGAAAGAACCCAUCCAAGUCAGUUCCAAAUCCCUUUGCAGAGACUUCCUGAUUAGGUGACUUUUGAAAGGGUUUUGGAGAAACUUUUCUUCUACGGAAGUUCCUGGAGCUUUGACUCCAGGCCACAGCCAACACAUCCUGGUGCUGCAGGAUUACAAAAAUCACCCUCAAGGAGGAAACUGUAGACCUGGAUUUUUGGAAAAGAAGAGGUAGGCUGGUGUGAUUCUCUAUGACAUGCAAGUUGCACCCUGGAUUGCCUUUCUGUUCGUGAGCACUUCAUAUUUGCUGGCAAUUGGGCAACCAGUGCCAUCACCUCAUUCACUCCUGACAACAACUCAUGUAUACAUGGGUGCCACAGCCAAGCAAGGGUGGGCAAGCUGCCCAGAGUUAAGAGCAGAAUAGGGGUCCCGGUCCAGGGUGGUCUGACCACAGAAGCCCUGCUCCUUACACUGCAUUUGUUUCCUGCCUUGUAAGAAAUGACACAGCCCCAUCUAGGACAUGAAUGAGGAUCUGUUAGGCACCAGGCACCAUUCAGAGCCCUUGGUCAACAUUUUCCCACACAGUCGUUUGGGAAACCUAGUACAGUCCACUAGGUCGGUGCUGUUAUUGGCCUGGCUGUCAAGGAACAACAGGUAUAAAUAUAAAGCUAAUGGUAAGCAAGGUCCCUCCCGGUGCAGUGUGCCUCUCAGUCAGCUGCAUGCUCAGCCACGUUACCCAAGUUAUAUCCUGCUUGGAUGCCCAGAAAGGCUUGAUAAAAACAUGAUGUGUAGAGUCUGAGUGAAGUGUGUAUGUGAGUAUAUGUGUGCGCAUGUAUGUAUGUGAGUAUAUGUGUGCGCAUGUAUGUAUGUGCAUGUGUGUGCAUGUAUGUGUGUGCGCAUGUAUGUAUGUGAGUAUAUGUGUGCGCAUGUAUGUAUGUGAGUAUGUGUGCACAUGUAUGUAUGUGAGUAUAUGUGUGCGCAUGUAUGCAUGUGCAUGUGUGCGCAUGUAUGUAUGUGAGUAUAUGUGUGUGCAUGUAUGUAUGUGAGUAUAUGUGUGCGCAUGUAUGUAUGUGAGUAUAUGCGUGCGCAUGUAUGUAUGUGCAUGUGUGCUUACAUUUGCAUCACAUAUGUAUGUGUCUGUGUGCACAUAUGCACGUGUAUACAUGUGCCUGUGUAUGUGCACAUAAACAGUGUCUUUGAGGGCUUGGCAAUCUGUGUUGAUGUUAUUGAAGCUCUGCACCUGACUUCUGGUCACUUUUCUGUUACUGACCAGCUAAAUAACUUUGAGUAAGUCAUUGAACUUAUUUGGACACUAGUUCCAUCAACUGUUAGAUAUGAGGAUGGGAAUGGAUUGUCUCAAAGAUCCUUUUGAGUUCAAAAAGUCUAUGAUACCAGUGAGAAUGUUCCAAAGCCUUAAUGACACCUCACUGAAUGCAGCUUAAAAUGGCUGCAAGCUGACCAGACGAUUGCAUUCUCCAAGGUGAGCUGCCCUUCAUACCUCAUGCCCUUGAAUAAUGCAGCGUAAGUGUGUUUAUUGUGCCAGCUCUUCUUGUAGUUUUAUUCUAAUCCCUCGUCUCAGGCAACAUUUGUUUUGGCUGCAGUUCGAUACUUCCUCCUUCAGAGCUAUGCUUGGUUUUACCUCUAAUUCUGUGGCCCUCAGGGGCUGGUUGUACUGAUAAACUUUUACAAGUAAAAGGAGCUGUGGAGAUGACCUCCAGCUGGGGCUGAAGGCCUAUACAGCAGCACCUUCUUGCUGAAGCUAAGUGAUCCUCUUGGGGAGGAGGGUUGGGGGUCCAGGGCCCCUGAAGUCAGGAUUCCCCAGUGAGUUGGUCAAUGUGGACUUAGAUCUUGUUGAAAUAUCCAGAAGUAUUUCUAAGUAGAAUAUUUUUGAUCACAGAAACAAGGUAAAUAUUUUUGUCUUCCUUCAGUGGAGGACUUUGGAGCUCUCAGGUGGCUGCUCUCCAUCCCAGGCCUGGCUGUAGGAGGCUACCUGGGUGGGGUGCAGGCCCAUGCCUGGGGUCCUGGCUCCAGAGGCACCACAUGCCACUCAGUGAGGAUAAGAAUCCAUUCUGCAGCUUCUUUCAGCCCCACAUCAAUAAAUGGAGACAGUGGGAAGGGAGCUGUGCUACUUUGAAGGAUUUGGGGGCAGACUAAGAAGAAAACACAUGUGAAAGUGCUUUGUAAGGAUGAGUGCAUGGCGGGGCGACGAGGGGCGUUGGAGGCACAUGCAGCUGGGUAGGAGUUGCACUUUGGUCAUUGGCCAGUUAUGUGGCUUUGGGAACUGUUCAGACUUCUGGAUCUUGGCUUCCUUUUUUGUUAAGUAGGUGAUGAUAGGGAUCUCAUUGGGCUGCUGUGAGGAUGAGGUGUGUUUACAGUGCUUGGCAAAGAGUGGGGCUCCAUGCACAUAACUCCAUUUCCUCUACAUCUACAUUGCUCUGCAAACGAAGGGUGCUAUGACAAUAAACCCACCCCAAGGCCAAAGGAGGGGCGUGCUGGGGGUGGAGAGGGAUGGCUGGGAACUAACUAGCCGGCAUCAGCAAAGGAGGGAUUGUUUUGGUCUUUGUAGGAAAUUAGGAGGAUUGCCUUUCUCAUCUAUUACUUCCAAUGAGUUCUGAUGUUCUGGGGAAUCUUCUCUGAAUGAAUCCUGGUAUUGCUUCAUUUAUACUAUAACUCUGUAGUAUAACUAUAUCCUGUGUAAUCCAAGCCAAAGAUAGAGGGUUUGGGGACGACAGAUAUUUCAACAAUAGUCACUGAGGCAAGGAAUUGUGGAUUCUAGGAUGAGGCAGCAGGUGAAGGGCUUUGGUGCCCACACAGAGGAGAAGAGGGCAACUGGAGCGAGGAAAUGUCUUGCUGUCCUGCCGUUUAGCUCUGGAAGUGUCUCUUGGGACAAUCUUGGAGAAACGUCAACUGAAGUGCUAGUUUAGUAGCAGGGUAGCUGAGUCCUAGCAGUGUUUCGCAUUUCUCCAGUGAAAGCCCUAGAGGACUUGGAUGUCCCCAUCUCUAAAGACACCGGUGGCGGCAGAGGCCCAGCUUCUAAACACUCAGGGUCACACAGGCAUUGGUGCUUGGUAAACGUUUUCUUAUAUAAUUUCAAAGCCAUCUGUGACAUGGCUGUAUCAUCCCCAUUCUACUAGUGAGAAAACCAAUGCCAGGGGAUGGAAAAACAACUUCCUUAUGGUCACACUGCCAGUCAGUGCCUGGUGGGACCCAAGCUGGGCCCCAAUCCCCCAUGUCCCCCUUGGCACCUGUCCUGCUUUAGGGAAGAUGGUCUGUGGUCAAAGCUUAAUCUUUGCUUUGAUAAAGGAUUAAUUCAAAUUUUGGAAUGAAAAGAAGAGAUUUUGAAGCCCUAAAACUGUACUGUGUGACAAAACUCCUGUUCUUGGGAUAUGGUGGCAGAAGUAAGGGAAAGUGUCAGAAAAAGUCCCGCAAGGUGAGAAAAACUGAAAAAGAGACCCCUUUCCUAUAGAGGCUCACGAAGGGGAAAUUGCAACUGUGCGACCCUGUCUGCUAGCUUUCUCUGUCACUUCAUCCCCCAUUCCUGUUGCUGUGUGCACUUUUAUCCAACCCUCUUAAUGUCCAUGGCUGCGCUACCAGCAAAAUCUAACCCCAUCUGCUUGGCUAAGCUUCUUGCGCUCACCUAUACCUGAGGAGUACGACAUCAGGCUUCAGGGCUUAUUGAAGUCAUUACUCACAUCAUUGCACUAAUCACAAACAGAAGUGAAAGUUGUAAAUUGUAUAUAAUUACAUUUCAUAGAGAAAAAAGUAGAUUUAAAAAUGGCAAUUAAUAUUCUUAAUAGCCAAAAGUUAUUGCUAAUUAAUAAGAAAAACAUAAGCACUCCAAUUGAAAAAAAAUGAGCAAAGGUCAUAAAGACAUAAAACUCGCCUGUGGAAACAUACGUAGAGGAAACACAGAAUUAGUGAGUGUGUGUAUGGAAAUAAAUGGAAGGAUAAUGCUUGCUACCCAGUGUGGGCUUUGGGGGUAGAUCUACCUGGACUGAGUUCUGGAUUCACUAUUUACUAGCUCCAUGACCUUCAGCAAAGUAACCUCUCUAAGCCUUUGUUUUUAUCUGUAAAAUAGGGAUACUUAUUUUCCCUGCCUUGAGGGGUUAUUGUGAGGAUAAAAGAAAAUAAUUCUGUAAAGGGCUUAGUAAAGUGCCUGGUGCAGAGAAAUUUUUCAGUGCAGAUUAGCAAUUGUCACUGCUAGUAGUAUAUUUGCAUUGAUAACAAUUAGUAAUUUAACAUCUCACUGAAAUCAAAGAAAUGCAAUUAAAACAACAAAUACAUAUUAUUUGUUACUUAUCAGAUUGGAAAACAGGUGAAAAGAUUGACAGUAACCACUGUUGGUUAGAUGUGGAGAGAUGGGUUCUCUUGUGCAAUUCUGGGAUGGUAGGACCUGAUGCCCCAUUUCUGCAGGGCAAUUUGGCAAUAUACAUUAACGUUGAACAUUCUGAUAGUUUUUGACCCAGUCAUUCUUCUCUCAGAAACUUAUUCCUGGGAGAUAACUGAACAAAUGCACAAUAAUGAAUAUAUAAGAAUGUUUAUCCUGGCAUUUUUUUUUAUAGAAACAAAAAUUCAGAAGCAACUUAAACAUCCUUCAGUGAGAUUGACUAAUAAGUCCUGCUUCAUUUUUAUGACAGAAUGCUACUACUAAUAGCAGUGUUCUAGAUUUUCAUCCACCAUCAUGGAUAAAGCUCUCCGUCAUGUGGAUGGUCUAUGAUUCAUGCAAGAAGACAGAACCAAUGUUUUGCAAGACCUUCCCAUGAAGUAGAAAGAACAGUAGUGUUCACUCCAUAAGAGGCGUGCGCUACCACUUGCCUUGCCUCAUGGGCAAUGAGGAAGUUGCAUGGGUUUCCUACGGCUCUGCAGGGGUGGAGUGAGCCAGAAAGAACUGGUCAGCCCUAGACAUUCAGGUGCUAUCAAAUACCAGCCCUAGGGUCAAGAACACUUAAAAACAAAACAAACUUGAAACUUCCUUUGCUUGUGUUGCUUAGAAUCACUGCGGUAGGAGGAUUCCUGAGGCAUUACCUGGAUAGUCUCAUCUGGCUGGACAUGCAGGAGAACUGGGAGACUGCCGAGACUGCCACGUGGGGUGACUUGAGGGAUCUUUGACACUCUCUGUCUUAAUCUGUUUUGUGUUGCUAUAACAGAAUACACAGACUAAGUAAUUUAUAAAGAAAGGAAAUUUACUUCUCACAGUUUUGGAGGCUGAGAAGUCCAAGACUGAGGGGCUGGCAUCUGACGAGGGCCUUCUUGCUGCUUCAUUCCACGGCAAAAUGGCAAAGAGAAGAUGAGAAGAAAGGCUCAAAGGGACGGUGGGACUUGACUGAGGACCCAGCACCUCCUGGACCUGAAUCAAGGCCCUCUGUCCCGCUGCUUUUGUUGUUGUUUACCCUGCAACUUCACAGCCCUUCAGAAGGCCCUGGACAUCAUGUGCAAGCUCCGUGGAUGGCCUGAGAUUCAUCCUUCCAAGUUGUUUUCUGACUGAGAGGCAACAUUUUAAAUUGUGAUCCCCCCUUACCCCACCACACACACUGAAACAAAAGUUUCAAGAAGUCAUUACCACACAAUGACUCAGAUAUGUUCUAGUCUAGUCUGUCUAUUCCAUUCCAUUCCAGUCUCUUUCCAAACGAAAAUAAAAGGAAGGAAAUGCUGCAUGCGACUUGGUAAGUUAAUUUCAGGACACCUUGGGACUGCUUCCUGCUGCAUGAGGCAUCAGCACACAGCAGGGGAUAUUUUGCAUUCCUGUGUGCACCGUGGGUUAGACAGGCUGCUUGGCCCUAAGUGGAGAAUGGAACUCCAGUAGAAAGGCUGAGAUGCACUGCAAGUAACCACUGCAGAAAGGAGAGGAUGCCCACAGGCAGGCUGAAGUGGACCCGUGUGGAAGGAACACUUCAAGACCACUGGCCAAGAGACUUCCUUCAUUUUUAUCCCUUCCUGUUUUUCGCCUGUGCUGAGGAUUCACCACCAGUGUGGGGAGCCUCUGACUGUAAAAGGAAAGCUGACUCUGGCUCCUUCGUGUUUUCUGUUAAGUUGGGGCCUAAGUUUUUCUGCCAGCCUUUGCGGAGGAAAUGCAGCUUCCCUGGCACACUGCCCGGUCAAGGGACGUUGAAUCCAUUGCAAUCAGCAGUUGAAGAUCCACACUACAGGCCAUGUUCUUAAAAUAAGUGGCUCCAGGACUUCCAAGAGGCAGAAGGGGCUUCAGCUGGCCAUGGGCAGGAUCCAAGUGGAGCUUCAUCCCUGCAGAGCAAUGCCUGGCUCUCAGCGGAGGCAGUCUGGAGCAGGGCUUCUACCCUUUUCAGCUCAUAGAUUACUUUGGAAUCUGAUGAACACUGGGAGCCUUCUCCUUAGAAGAACAUACAUAUGCACGAGAAUGAGACAAUUACAUAACAUUCCUUGGGUUUCACAGAUGCUGAAGCCAAUGACUUGCUUGAAGCCUGGAAGAGGGUGUUGACCUGGAGAAUCCUAAAGGCCAAAAUUUAGAGAAAAUGGUGCCAGUAAAUGAAUUCACAAGGAGAAAUGCUUCCUUGCCAACUCACUUCUCCAGAUUAUUGAGUGCAUCUAUCUGUUUGCUUUUGGCUUCACGCAAUUGGCCCUCUUCAGUUCCGUACUCUUUCCUAAAUACCUUGCAAGUUUUCCUCUUCUCUCAUGCCAUUUAUAAUAUGCUGACGCCUGAUUAGAGGAAGGAAGGACUCAGCUGCACUUGCACUGGGGGAAGGGCCACUUACAGGAAGCCUACCUGGGGCUGAGCUGGGUCUCACUGCCUCCUAGACCUAAGGGCCCCAGCUUUUCCCUCAUCUCUUGUUGCAGCCACCACUUGUUCUAGAUCUGCAUCCAUAUCUGUAAAAUGGGGGUGAUAAUACCUUCCCAUAAAGUCACUGUGAGGAUUAAAUGUCCGGCACAAUAUUUGAUGCAUAGUGGUGCUGAAUAAUAUUUAUUGUCAUUACUAUCAUUAUUAUUGGCUGCUACCUUCAUUUUGAAAUUCUAUCCAUGAGCUACAUUAAUUAACCUGCAUUCAGUGUCAGGAUGUAUUUCUUAAUUUAGAUUUUUAAAUUUUUAGAGCAUGUGGCUAACCAUGAAUGUUGCAUUUUCUCAGUACCUAUUUAUUCAUAUGAAACUAUAGGUCUGGGCUCAGAGUUCAUCAAUAUUUAUAGAGAAGGCUCUACCUGUUGAGCACUGUGCUAGGCAUCCCCAGAGAUGCUGGCCUACUUCAUGCCUUAGGCAGCCCCACACGUGAGCAUUACUAACCCAUUGCUGCUAUGAGAGCAUUCAGAAAGAAAGCAGUUUAAGUUGCUUGACUAAACUGGUAGAGUUGAAAUUAAACUCUGUCUCUUCAUGUUACUGGACUGCUUGGAUAUCUACUUUCAGAAAGACUACAGCUUGAUAUAAACAUUGUAGUUUUGCUCAUGGAAAACUUACAGUAAAUCUGGGCUGUUUCAACACAACUGUCAAACUGUUCACCUACAGCUGUAUUUUCUCUUGCAAUGGGUGAAUAAGGUACAAUGAUGGUUGUACAGACCAUUACUAUUAUUACCUGUUAAUUUACAUUUAAACAGAUUUAUAAUUUCUGGCCCUGAUUUCCAGUCCAGUAUACAGCAAAAAUCCAUAUUUUAAACUAAAAAUAAUGUGCUUUUCAUAAAAUCAUAAAGAAACCCACCUGGCUAUUGUCUGGGGACUUGCGAGAAGGAUCCUUUGUAGUUUUCUUCCAUGUCUUCUAAGGAAUAGUUUGGAACACAUAGUAAAUAGUCAAUUAAUACCAAAGGGCAUUUGCAAAACUAUCAACUCCCAGUUUAUAUAAAGGACCAGCCACCAGAAUUAUACAUGAAUUAAAAAGUUAGCACACCAUAGUCAGAGAAGGACAACUUGGGAAUAGUUGUGUAACAGCCGUGAGGGUAAGCGAAGGGUCUGUCUACCUGUGCCUUCCCAGAAUACUGCCUCUCUUCUGGUCUGCUUUGGGAACAGUCAACAGGAAAGAAAAAGUAGACAGAUAGAGUCAGUGCGCUGAAUAAAAGAAGAUUCUAGAUCACUACAAGAGGCUUGUCAUUUGAGGCAAAGUGUCUGAGAGAGGAAGGUUUUUAUGGCCUCAAUGGGGAGACUGGUCACUGAUAAAGCGUUCUGGAUCUUUUGUGGGCCGGAAGAUAAGUUGAGUUUUGGUUAAUGUUUAAUGAUGCAGAACAAAAGUCAUAAAUAGUCCAUGAGAAAUAAGAGCACAAAUGAUUGGGAUUGGACAGUUUGCUUAUUCAGCUGCAAAAUGUGCUGUGUUCUAUUCUUGUCAUCCCCCCAUGGUAUAACAAAAUGCAGUGUGACAAGGAAUAUAAAUGUCCCCUAAUGCAUGGGCAGCUUUUUCUGUUCUAAGAGAGUCAGCAUGAGUCACUC